rnacentral:rRNA from 1 species
GAUGAACGCUGGCGGCGUGCCUAAUACAUGCAAGUCGAGCGAACAGACGAGGAGCUUGCUCCUCUGACGUUAGCGGCGGACGGGUGAGUAACACGUGGAUAACCUACCUAUAAGACUGGGAUAACUUCGGGAAACCGGAGCUAAUACCGGAUAAUAUAUUGAACCGCAUGGUUCAAUAGUGAAAGACGGUUUUGCUGUCACUUAUAGAUGGAUCCGCGCCGCAUUAGCUAGUUGGUAAGGUAACGGCUUACCAAGGCGACGAUGCGUAGCCGACCUGAGAGGGGGAUCGGCCACACUGGAACUGAGACACGGUCCAGACUCCUACGGGAGGCAGCAGUAGGGAAUCUUCCGCAAUGGGCGAAAGCCUGACGGAGCAACGCCGCGUGAGUGAUGAAGGUCUUCGGAUCGUAAAACUCUGUUAUUAGGGAAGAACAAAUGUGUAAGUAACGAUGCACGUCUUGACGGUACCUAAUCAGAAAGCCACGGCUAACUACGU